ACUCCUACGGGAGGCAGCAGUGGGGUAUCUUCCGCAAUGGGAGAAAGCCUGACGAGGAGCACGCCGCGUGAGUGAGACGGCCUUCGGGUUGUAAGCUCUGUGAUCCGGGACGAAAAGGCAUAGUGCGAAUAACGAACUGCAUUGACGGUACCGGACAAGCAAGCCACGGCUAACUACGUGCCAGCAGCCGCGGUAAUA
rnacentral:rRNA from 1 species